UACGUAGGGCGCAAGCGUUGUCCGGAAUUAUUGGGCGUAAAGAGCUCGUAGGCGGCUUGUCACGUCGAUUGUGAAAGCCCGGGGCUUAAACUCCGGGUCUGCAGUCGAUACGGGCUAGCUAGAGUGUGGUAGGGGAGAUCGGAAUUCCAGGUGUAGCGGUGAAAUGCGUAGAUAUCUGGAGGAACACCGGUGGCGAAGGCGGCAUCCUGGACCAUUACUGACGCUGAGUGAGCGAAAGCCAGGGGAGCAAACGGGG
rnacentral:rRNA from 1 species